UCUUUGUGAGGGCUGAGGUUCAAAU
rnacentral:piRNA from 1 species